UACUGCACGUUGCUCCCCACAAGA
rnacentral:misc_RNA from 1 species